rnacentral:rRNA from 1 species
AAAUGUGGAGCCGCAGCGAAAGCGAGUCUGAAUAGGGCGUUGAGUAUUUGGUCGUAGACCCGAAACCAGGUGAUCUACCCUUGGUCAGGUUGAAGUUCAGGUAACACUGAAUGGAGGACCGAACCGACUUACGUUGAAAAGUGAGCGGAUGAACUGAGGGUAGCGGAGAAAUUCCAAUCGAACUUGGAGAUAGCUGGUUCUCUCCGAAAUAGCUUUAGGGCUAGCCUCAAGUGAUGAUUAUUGGAGGUAGAGCACUGUUUGGACGAGGGGCCCCUCUCGGGUUACCGAAUUCAGACAAACUCCGAAUGCCAAUUAAUUUAACUUGGGAGUCAGAACAUGGGUGAUAAGGUCCGUGUUCGAAAGGGAAACAGCCCAGACCACCAGCUAAGGUCCCAAAAUAUAUGUUAAGUGGAAAAGGAUGUGGCGUUGCCCAGACAACUAGGAUGUUGGCUUAGAAGCAGCCAUCAUUUAAAGAGUGCGUAAUAGCUCACUAGUCGAGUGACACUGCGCCGAAAAUGUACCGGGGCUAAACAUAUUACCGAAGCUGUGGAUUGUCCUUUGGACAAUGGUAGGAGAGCGUUCUAAGGGCGUCGAAGCAUGAUCGCAAGGACAUGUGGAGCGCUUAGAAGUGAGAAUGCCGGUGUGAGUAGCGAAAGACGGGUGAGAAUCCCGUCCACCGAUUGACUAAGGUUUCCAGAGGAAGGCUCGUCCGCUCUGGGUUAGUCGGGUCCUAAGCUGAGGCCGACAGGCGUAGGCGAUGGAUAACAGGUUGAUAUUCCUGUACCACCUAGUAUCGUUUUAAUCGAUGGGGGGACGCAGUAGGAUAGGCGAAGCGUGCUGUUGGAGUGCACGUCCAAGCAGUAAGGCUGAGUGUUAGGCAAAUCCGGCACUCAUAAGGCUGAGCUGUGAUGGGGAGAGGAAAUUGUUUCCUCGAGUCGUUGAUUUCACACUGCCGAGAAAAGCCUCUAGAUAGAUAACAGGUGCCCGUACCGCAAACCGACACAGGUAGUCAAGAUGAGAAUUCUAAGGUGAGCGAGCGAACUCUCGUUAAGGAACUCGGCAAAAUGACCCCGUAACUUCGGGAGAAGGGGUGCUCUUUAGGGUUCACGCCCAGAAGAGCCGCAGUGAAUAGGCCCAAGCGACUGUUUAUCAAAAACACAGGUCUCUGCUAAACCGUAAGGUGAUGUAUAGGGGCUGACGCCUGCCCGGUGCUGGAAGGUUAAGAGGAGUGGUUAGCUUCUGCGAAGCUACGAAUCGAAGCCCCAGUAAACGGCGGCCGUAACUAUAACGGUCCUAAGGUAGCGAAAUUCCUUGUCGGGUAAGUUCCGACCCGCACGAAAGGCGUAACGAUUUGGGCACUGUCUCAACGAGAGACUCGGUGAAAUCAUAGUACCUGUGAAGAUGCAGGUUACCCGCGACAGGACGGAAAGACCCCGUGGAGCUUUACUGUAGCCUGAUAUUGAAAUUCGGCACAGCUUGUACAGGAUAGGUAGGAGCCUUUGAAACGUGAGCGCUAGCUUACGUGGAGGCGUUGGUGGGAUACUACCCUAGCUGUGUUGGCUUUCUAACCCGCACCACUUAUCGUGGUGGGAGACAGUGUCAGGCGGGCAGUUUGACUGGGGCGGUCGCCUCCUAAAAGGUAACGGAGGCGCUCAAAGGUUCCCUCAGAAUGGUUGGAAAUCAUUCAUAGAGUGUAAAGGCAUAAGGGAGCUUGACUGCGAGACCUACAAGUCGAGCAGGGUCGAAAGACGGACUUAGUGAUCCGGUGGUUCCGCAUGGAAGGGCCAUCGCUCAACGGAUAAAAGCUACCCCGGGGAUAACAGGCUUAUCUCCCCCAAGAGUUCACAUCGACGGGGAGGUUUGGCACCUCGAUGUCGGCUCAUCGCAUCCUGGGGCUGUAGUCGGUCCCAAGGGUUGGGCUGUUCGCCCAUUAAAGCGGUACGCGAGCUGGGUUCAGAACGUCGUGAGACAGUUCGGUCCCUAUCCGUCGUGGGCGUAGGAAAUUUGAGAGGAGCUGUCCUUAGUACGAGAGGACCGGGAUGGACAUACCUCUGGUGUACCAGUUGUCGUGCCAACGGCAUAGCUGGGUAGCUAUGUAUGGACGGGAUAAGUGCUGAAAGCAUCUAAGCAUGAAGCCCCCCUCAAGAUGAGAUUUCCCAACUUCGGUUAUAAGAUCCCUCGAAGAUGACGAGGUUAAUAGGUUCGAGGUGGAAGCGUGG